rnacentral:tRNA from 1 species
AGGCUAAUUUAUUUUUUGAUUUGAAAUCAAUUGUUAAGUAAAUAACUGUUGUACUUAUUAGUCUA